rnacentral:lncRNA from 1 species
CUAAGCAAGACCGUGGCCACCUCGCUGUUGUCUUCUGAGAACUACUGUCUUACGAAAUUUCUGAAGAGAGUCCGUGGACACUUGCCCCCAUGUGUGCUUUUCCCAUCAGAGACAAAGAACAAUCCUUUCUAAUUUUCCUCUACACAAAUUCUAUAUCUUCGAAGCAUCUGCAGAGAUAAUCAGGGACUAGUUUGUUUGUAGAAAUGUUUCUGAGGGUUCCUGAAGGCUAUAAUUUGCUUUUGUUUUUGUUUUUCGCCUCAGACUUGGAUCUCGGGAGGAAACUACAGUCAGUUCAGACAGCUUGGAAAGAGUCCCAUCUCUGGUGAAGCAAAGACUUUUCCUCUCUUGAACUGAGAAGCAUGCCGUGUAUUUCUUACCCCUGUUGUAAACCAGGUUUUCCUCUUUGCAGGGCCCUCUGGGGAUAGAUACGCAAUCAUCAGCACUUUCCACUCCUGGGCGUCUAAAUUUCCCCUCAGCACUGGUUUCCAGAACUGAGAGGCCUUUAACCAGCGAUCUGGAGGGGGAGAGGGGAGCGCUCUGAGCACAUGUGCGCGCGGGCGGGCGCCGUGAGGACACGCGGCCCGGCGCCCCCCUGCCGCGUCGAACAGACGGGGGUCUGUGGCAGCCCCGCCAAGCAGCCCUUGAUCCCGCCCGCCGGGGCCGGCGCUUGGCCUCGGGCUGAGCCCUGGAAUAGCAGGCCGCGGUCAGCAGGGCUGCUGCGGGCACAGGCCCUCCGCGACUGUGGGGGAGUAAGCCGUGCAACAACAGGUCCUUUCUCCCUGGCCCUCGCCCAGCAGGCUGCACGCUUGCAACUCCCAACUCCUCGGCAGCCCUCCCCUGCUUGAAAGGGACGCGACAGAGGAGCUGCUGUUGCUAUUGGCUCCUGCCGCCUGACAACCACAGAGGUUACUUGGAGGGCUAGCGGGAAGCCCGCGACUUGGGUUUCCUCUGGCUCAGGAACAGGGUGCCCAUCACAGUGGGCCGCUUUGGGGAGGCACACAAGGAGCAGGGAAGGCCCAGAGGAUGCCAGCCGCGCAGCCCAUUCCGGGCCUGGCCAUUAGCAGAAUGACACGCAGUUCAGCCGGAUCACCCUCGUGACUAAGUGAGCGUCUGCUAAAGAGACCCGGAAUGGGCCUCUGUCAUACGUGGAACAGGGAUUUUCCAUUCGCACUCCAAGGACCGCUGGACCUGCUUUAUGAUCCCGUGCUUUCACUGACAUUGGAAGGACACGCCUUCUGAGAACCGCACUUCACACCCAUCCACACACACCUCUGAGUUUUUAUUUCCAAAGCACCUUUUCUUCCAGGCUGCCAAAAUAAGAACUUUGCAAACAAAGCUGUUUUGAAGUAUUUAAGCACAAAAAGAUCCUAACACUGGUCCCUCUGCCUUUUCUUUUAAUAUUUUGAGCUGUUUAUAUGCCUAGAGUUUUUUGGUUUUUGUUUUCUUCCUUGAGAUUUAAAUAAAAAAGAGUUUCUGGUUUGAAUCA